ACACUCAUACACUUUCAUUUUGCAUAUAUCACGAGAUGUAGAGUAAAAAGAUUGCAUUGACCAAGCAAUCUGUUCAUGGUUAACAAUCUAUUAUUAAGCUAGACAGAUUAGUCCAUACAGCAUAAGCUAUCAGCCAGAAAACAAUCCCAAAUUGAUUCAUACGUGUAUUCAAAACCCCUUUUUAACCUUUCCCUUUCAUAGAAAGGAACUGAGCAUAUGCAUCAAAAUUUACAGAAUCCAACUUUCAAACCAAAUGCAAUGUUUAUAAUACUCAAAGCACCAAAUAUUAAAGAACUUCCUCCCCCAUUACUCUCCUUCACUCGCCUAAGCGUUACCUAUCCGAGCAUUCAAUGCUCCCUGCGCUCUUCCUUGGCCGCCCCAACCUACAUUGUGGCCCUUUUGGUUUCGGAGAAAUGAGAAAGAAGAAGAACAGGAACGAGGAAGAAGGGAAACUUUUCGAAGGCUUUUUCUCUCUGGCGAGGUGUAGGCUGCAUGUCUGCUUGUCCCUUCGGGGACAUCCGAUAAAAUUGGAACGAUACAGAGAAGAUUAGCAUGGCCCCUGCGCAAGGAUGACACGCACAAAUCGAGAAAUGGUCCAAAUUUUUUUUCUCAAUUCAGGUUACUUAUUUUUGUAAUAUUUUAUAAAGGGAAUCUUUAUUCUGCAAUAUAUUAUUGUUGGUAAGGCAUGAUAAUCAGAAAUUACAGCACAACUACCUUUAAAGUGGUCAAUGUUCAAAUAUAUUCUUCAGGUUUGAAUGAUUUUACACGGCAUUCGUGAUAAUUAUAGUAUUCAGAGACACUGUUCCACACAUGGCCCCAACAACCAAUUUGAAAAAAUGAGUUUUUCAUCAAUGGUAUGUUUGAAGAAAUGAAUGAAAGCAAACAAUGGAUGUUAUUCAACACCACGAUCAGAAGCAGAGACAACACACCACGUUUGCCACGAGAUGCAACAAAAAAAAUCCACAAAGCCAAUCCAUCUCCUUCCUCUAAAAUCUUUCUUGGCCAAACCUUUCAACAUAUUUCCUUUCAACUUUUCAUUAUCAAAAUAAAUAAUCUCAUCGAAAGCAUCUUCAGAAUGCAAGCAAAAAGAAACUAGUUGGACAGGAACUAUUCACAAUGCAAACAGCUAAUGCAGUCCCACAUCGAAAGACUUUUAUAAAUAAAGCACAUUUAUAAAGGAAAACCUGACAACUCUGGUCACGACCUUACUUGAACAGGAUCUGUUCUAUAGGCUCGUACCUCUGUAUCCUUAAGUUCUAAGGAGACAGGAACUGAAGUCUGGUGGAUGAGCCAUGACCCUGUGAUCAGAGCGUGAUUGACGGUAGUGGUGGUCUUCUUUGCGGACUAGGCUCAUCACCAACUGUAGAGGAUCGUUCCCGUUCUUACGAAUUGGGAUGGUCGCAGGGUUGUCUGACAGACU